rnacentral:lncRNA from 1 species
GAUCUAACAGUGAAUCGAUUGCAGCUUUACGCCACUUUCGAAUAGUCUUUCCACCUUCUUCCUAAAGCCUUCUGCUUUACUUUUUUUUCUCACUGGUGGUCAUAAGUUUGUCUUCAAUUUCCAUCAUAGACCUGAUUUUACAAUUAGGGUUUAAGGUUAUGUUUAGAAUUUAAAUAACUUACUUGAAAUGAUUAUAGAUAUAAAUGAAUAAAAAUAAUAAUUAUUCGAUCAUGUCACAAAAUUUUUUUAAUUAUUUAAUUAUUAUUUUAUUAUACUUUAAAAAUGAAGUUUUUUUACUCCACUAACAGUAUAUAGGAUAAUUAUUUAUCAUAUAUAUAUACCUCAAACAAAAAAAAAGGACACAAACAAAAAGUUGAAUGGUUUUGAUAAUUUUGAGAGAAACAAGAAUUUAAGUUUGCUUUGGCAGUAGAAUCCAACAACAAUUAUACUACCAAUCUCACAUUUUGUUACAGAAUAGAUAUGAAGCAAUAGAAAGAACAAAGAAAAGAAGAAGAAGAGAAGAAAUCGAGAGAAAGAAAUGGAAGAGAAUAUUGAAGAUACUGAAUCGAAUUUCAUAACCUCCAUUGGCUUAGUUACAAGUAUAUAUGGAAACCCAAAAACGACCAAACACCAACAGUAACAAUGGACCAAAACACAUCAUUUUAAUGAUAUGAAACGCACCGUAUACUCAAAUAAGAUAGAAGUAAAACACAACGUUUAAAACCAAAGAAUUAACAGCAAUAACGAAAAUAUGAAAAUGAAAAAGAUCGUUGAACGAUUCCAUAACAAAUGCCCUCCCCUGAACAGGAUCUUUGUCCUUAAGGAUCAAAUGCAGGAAAGCGACGUUGAAGAUCAUGCAAAUUCUCCCAAGUAAAAUCCUCAGGAAAGGUGUCCACCCACUCAAUGAGAACCUCCACAGCAGCAUGGUUACCCUCCUUGACUAAGCGCCUAUCCAAUACACGAAUUGGUGUCUUGAGAAUAGCUCCACCGUACCCCACUUGUGGUAAGGUAGAGGCACUAAUCGCGGACCCAAUAUGCCUUAUCAAUUGGGAGACAUGAAAAGUAGAAUGAAUACGAGCAGAAGAUGGUAACAACAGUUUGCAAGCAACCUAUCCAACACGAGCCUCCACUGGGAAAGGGCCAAAAUACCAGGAUGACAACUUCUGAUUUUUGAACUUGCGCAAAGAAUACUGUCGAUAUGGUUGCAACUUCAGAUACACCAAAUCACCCACCUAAAAUUCCUGUUCUGACCUCCGUUUGUCUGCCAUCUGUUUCAUCCGAUCCUGAGCUCGAGUGAGAUAAAAUUUCAAAACCUUGCACAUAACCUCUCUGUGUUACAAGGUACGAUUAAUUGUUGCUACUGGAGACGCACCAAUCCACAUAGGGUAAGUGAAGAGGUGGAUCUUGCCCAUAGAGAGCUUCAUAAGGAGUGGUCUGAAUAGUCGAAUGGUAGGUGGUAUUGUACCACCACUACGCUAAGGGUAACCAAGACACCCAAGCAGAAGGCUUUUCACCAGUCAUGCAUCUCAAAUAACUUUCUAAACAUUUGUUAAGAAUUUCUGUCUAGCCAUCAGUUUGAGGGUGGUAGGAAGUAGAUAUCUUCAGUUUGGCACCCAAAUGCCGAAACAGUUCCUGUCAAAAGUUACUUAAAAAGAUUUUUUUUCUAUCAGACACGAUCGACUCAAAGAUCCCAUGCAACUUAUAAAUAUGGGUGAGAUACUCUUGAGCUACGGUAAAGGCAGUAAAAGGGUGAGCCAAGGCAAUAAAGUGACCAUACUUGGUCAAACGAUCAAUCACUACAGGAAUGGUUGAUUUACCCUGUGACAAAGGUAGACCCUCAAUAAAAUCCAUGCUGAUGACAGUCCAAGCACGACCUGGUAUAGGUAAGGGUUGUAAAAGCCUAGGUGAAGCAAAAUUAUCAGCUUUCCAAUGCUAGAAAACGACACACUCCCACACCUAAUGCUUAAUAUCUUUAGAGAGACCCUUCCAAUAGAGUAAGGCAGAUAUCCUAUGACGAGUGGCAUCGAUGCCAGAAUGACCACCCAAAGCACUGUCAUGGAAAAGGCCAAAGAUAUGUCUUCGAAGCUGGAUAUCAUUUCGCACCAUAAUUUUUCCCAAUCUCCGAAGGAAUGUACCAUGCCACGAGUACUUAGGAUGCAACUGGGGCUGCGUUUGAACAUCUUGACACAGCUGAUAUAGCUUCUUAUCUGUCUCAUAUGAAGCAAUAAUGCAUUCCCAUACUGUGGACCAAGAAGAAUAAAAACUGCAUUCAUAUUGGAGCAGUUGGUGAGUGUGGUCAUGAGGUUUCCUAGACAAAACAUCGGCCACUGUGUUCUGAGCUCCCUUGCGAUAUGAGAUCGAAUAAUCGUAUCCCAACAUCUUAGCAACCCACUUCUGCUAGUAAGCUGUAAUUGCCUACUGUUCAGAGAGGAAUUUUAAGCUGUGGUGGUUUGUUUUAAUGAAGUAAUGCCUACCAACAAGAUAGGAAUGCCAUUUCUUAACUACCAAAAAUACUGCAAGCAUCUCUUUGUCAUAGAUAGAAAAAAUUGAUAUUUUACUCCCAACGUCUUAUUGAAGUAUGCUAUUGGUUUUCCCUUCUACUGUAAAAUAGCCCCGACCUCUUGACCACUAGCAUUCGUCUCCACACAAACAGGCUCUUGAAAAUUUGGUAAAGCUAGAACUGGAGCCUGAUAAACAACUACUUUGAGUUGAUUGAAGGCAGUAUGCUCCAAUACUAUCUACUGCUAAGGACCAUGUUUUUUUAAUAAUGCGGUGAGGGGCUUAGCCAGUAUUUCAUACCCCUUGAUGAACUGCUUGUAAUAUCCGGACAAGCCAAGAAAACCUCACAACUCCUUGACAGAUUUUAAAGGAGACCAAUCCAAAACUCCAGCCAGUUUGGUUCGAUCCGCACUACUAGCUCCUUGAGAGAUAACAUGUCCAAGAUACUCCACUUGAGCAACUCCAAAAAUGCACUUAGACCGCUUAGCAUAAAGUUGAUUAGAUCUCAACACUUGGAGCACCUCUUGUAAGUGAAUCAAAUGGCCAAUCCAAUUCUGGGAGUACACGAGUAUAUCAUAAAAAAUCGAUCUUCGUAAGAAAGAUCAAAAGAUUGAAUUCAUCAGUGAUUGGAAACUCGAUGGGGCAUUGGUUAAGCCAAAUGCCAUGACCAAGAAUUCAUAAUGGCUAGCAUAAGUUUUGAAAUUUGUUUUGUACACAUCUUGCUCCCACAUUCGAAUCUGAUGAUAGCGUGAACGUAAAUCCAACUUGGAGAAAAAAUUACUUGCCCCAACUCAUCCAAUAGUUCUUCAAUAAUAGGGAUAGGAAAUCUGUCUUUAAUGGUCAGUUGGUUGAGCUACCUGUCGCCUAUACACAGCUUUUAAGUACCAUCUUUCUUCUUAACCAUCACCAUAGGAGAUGCAAAUGGACUGUUGUUGUCCCUGAUUAUUCCAGCUUGCAACAUUCCCUAUAUCAAUUUCUCUAUUUCAGUUUUCUGGACUACAAGAUAUCUGUAAGGCCUCACCUUAACAACCUUAGACUCAUCUAUUAGAGGAAUUAUGUGGUCUUAUAAUUAAUGAGGAGGUAGACCUGUGGGAGUCUGGAAUAUAUCCUUAAAUUCAUCAAAGAGACUUUGCAAUUCAGGUGGCAACUAAACUGGCUGCAUUGUAAGAGCAGUCUGAUCACAAGAAGCCAAUAGCAUAGGACAUGGGUCAUUACCUACCAGACUUAGGCAUUUGGAAAGUUGACUAUUGGGAAAAAUAUGUAGUGAACUUGGUACUAUGCAUUGCAAGAUACAAUUAUGUCCCAUAUGAUUAAACUGCAUAGUCAAGUUGGAGAAAUUCCAUACAAUCAGACCCAAGGAUAACAGCCAGUGAAUGCCAAGCACCAAGUCAAAUCCCUUCACUGAUAGAAUUAAGAAAUCAGUGGUAAAAUUAUAACCUUGUGCUUUCAAUGAAACUACUCUGCAAAAUCCUUGAAUAGACAAUCGAACCCCAUUUGCUACCAUCACCCUCAAGGUACUUCUCGAUUCUACUGUCAAAUUCAACCUUUUAGCCACCUUAAAAUCUAUAAAAUUGUGUGUGUUACCAGAGUCCACUAAGACCACCACUUCAGUGUGAUCAAUAACAACUGAAAAUUUCAUAGUGUUAUGCCCCUACAACCCUUGAAGAGCCUGUAAUGAUAACACAGGAGUAGGACUUUCUAGAAUCUAAUCUACUAAGUCCAAAUGUUCAGAAUAAUCUUGAAAAUCUUCAGAAGAUAGACUCUUCAUGUCAAAACUAUGUUCCCAUAAUGGCUCAAUAACAAGCUAGUACAUCUGAGACUUCAAACAUUUGUGACUUGGUGAAUACUUCGAGCCGCACCAAAAGCAAAAGCCCUUCUUCCUCCUAUCUUCCAACUCUACUUGAAACAAAGACUUGGAAGGAAUUCUUUGUCCUAAGUCACCACUCACUGAUCCCCUCGCUGAGGCCGAGCUUCCUAUUCCCUACUGCAAUUUAGAAACAAGAAAUAAAGGUUUUGAUGAACUAACUCCACUACCAACAGUGAACCUCUUUUUCACCAGCCCUAGCACAAUAUUCUCAACCUAUCGAGCUAAAUUGUAACCCUCCACAAAUGUUUGAGGCUUAAACAACCUGAGAUACUGUCCUAUUUUAGGUUUCAAAUUGCUAAUGAAUAUGCUUAAUGCAUAGGUUUCAGGCAGAUUUAGGUAAUUCAAAAAACUCAAAAAUCUAUCAUGAAACUGGUCAGCAGAUCCAUGUUGUUUGAGAGUUACUAACUAAAUCAUAGGAUUAAGGAAGGAAUCAAACCCAAAACAUUCCCUAAGUCCCCUAACAUGCAUCUCCUAAGUUAGUUGGUGCAACCCUCCAUGUCUGCGCACAAAGAAGUGAUGCCAGUUUAGUGCCUUCCUUUUUAGAUGCAACAUAACCACCCUAACCUUCGCAUGUUCAUCGAUCCCUUCAACCUCAAAAUAUUGUUCUAAUUUAGACAACCACCCCCUAAAAUUACCACCAUCAAAGUGCAAACAAUCUUCUUUAAAAGAGGAAUUCUCGACUUCCACCAUACCUCCUGGUGAGGAUAUACUCGAAAGACCUAGGUCUUGUAUAGACGACACUACUAGGUGUUCUUUUGCUGAAAAAUUAGGAGGAGAACCUAAAAUACCCUUACCUGUACCAGUCAUCACACCGGUAACUGCAAUAGGAGAACUCUGUCCAAAAUAGUGUUUAAAUAAAUAAUGAAGCUCAGAACGAAGUUCAGAUCAUACCUCCGAAUGAACCUCUAACUUAAUUCCCUCUUGAAAGUCCUUCAAAUGCGAUUAAUCCUUGCAUCUAACUGAGUGAAUUCAACUUGCAAUUAAGAAAGCUCGUCUUGCAUCAUUCUUAAUUCUUUUUGCAUUUUGGUAGUCACCUCUUCCAUGACCAUGAGAAUCAACAAGCUCUGAUACCUUUGUUACAAAAUAGAUCUGAAGCAGUAGAAAGAACAGAGGGAAGAAGAAGAAAAGAGGAAAUCAAGAGAAAAAAUAGAAAAAAAUAUUGAAAAUACUGAAUUUCAUAACCUCCCAUUGACUUAGUUACAGGUAUAUAUGGAAACA